ACCCGGCUGGCGAGUCCCAAAUAGGACGAAAUGUGCGUCCUGGAU
rnacentral:hammerhead_ribozyme from 1 species